UCAGCCCAAGACUACCCCGUCGGUCAUUCUGUUCCUGCCGUCCUGUGAGGAGCCCCAAGCCAACAAGGCCACACUGGUGUGUCUCAUGAAUAACUUUAUCCGGGAAUCUUGAUGGUGACCUGGAAGGCAGAUGGUACCCUCAUCACCCAGAGCGUGGAGAAGACCACGCCCUCCAAACAGAGCAACAACAAAUGGAGUCUCACUCUGUCGCCCAGGCUGGAGUGCAAUGGCUCGAUCUUGGCUCACCGUAACCUCUGUCUCCCAGGUUCAACCAAUUCUCCUGCCUCAGCCUCCUGAGUAGCCGGGAUUACAGGCAGCAACUGGAAACAACCCAAGUGUCCGUCAGCUAGAGAAUGGAUAGACCCAUGUGGUCUGUGCAUACAGUGGAGUACUGCUCAGUUACACAAGGAAAAGAAACUAUGGAUACAGGUCACAGGAGGGAUGAUCUUCAAAACAUUACAACAGUUGCACCUUUGUCACCCAGGCUGGAGUGCAAUGGUGUGAUCUUGGCUCACUGUGCAACCUCCGCCUCCUGGAUUCAAGCGAUUCUCCUGCCUCAGCCUCCUGAGUAGCUAGGAUUGCAGGGGGAAGGACGCACCCUGUUAUGAAUCUGAUACUGAUAUUUAUGAGACUGUGGCUGCUGCAACAUCAGAAUCCACUACUGUAGAGCCUGGCAAGCUGGAUGUGGGAGCCACGGAGGGCCAAGACCUGCAGCACAUCAGCAACCAAAAGAUGCCCACAGGCCCCAGUGUGUAUCAUUCCCUGUCUAACACCGUACGUAUUCUAAGACCACUCCUUUGCUGAUGACAAAUCUAAGUGAUGGUUCGCAGGGGACUCUCUUCCCUGCUUCUGUCUGGAGAGCCUGCCUGGCUUCAGGUUCCUGAUAGGAGUGAGGACCUGGAGUGCAGUGUGAGAAACAGAUGGCUCAGUGAAGAACUGUCAUCAUCCACUAGAGUCCCUGGAAACAGCCGUGUCAUUUAGAUGAUGUGGGUUUGUGUGCAUGAGGGUUGGGAGAUAGCCAGGGGUGAAUUAAUGUGUAGUGUUUGUAAAUGUGUGUUUUCCCCCAAAAAUGUGGACCCGCAUGCCC
rnacentral:lncRNA from 10 species